AGUGAACGCUGGCGGUAGGCCUAACACAUGCAAGUCGAACGGCAGCACAGUAAGAGCUUGCUCUUACGGGUGGCGAGUGGCGGACGGGUGAGGAAUACAUCGGAAUCUACUUUUUCGUGGGGGAUAACGUAGGGAAACUUACGCUAAUACCGCAUACGACCUACGGGUGAAAGCAGGGGAUCUUCGGACCUUGCGCGAUUGAAUGAGCCGAUGUCGGAUUAGCUAGUUGGCGGGGUAAAGGCCCACCAAGGCGACGAUCCGUAGCUGGUCUGAGACGAUGAUCAGCCACACUGGAACUGAGACACGGUCCAGACUCCUACGGGAGGCAGCAGUGGGGAAUAUUGGACAAUGGGCGCAAGCCUGGUCCAGCCAUACCGCGUGGGUGAAGAAGGCCUUCGGGUUGUAAAGCCCUUUUGUUGGGAAAGAAAAGCAGCAGGUUAAUACCCCGCUGUUCUGACGGUACCCAAAGAAUAAGCACCGGCUAACUUCGUG
rnacentral:rRNA from 1 species